rnacentral:tRNA from 1 species
GCACUGGUGGCUCUGUGAUAGAGUCCUUACCUUUCAUGCCAGAGACCUGGGUUUGAUUCCCAGCCAAUGCG